GACGAACGCUGGCGGCGUGCUUAACACAUGCGAGUCGAACGGAAAGGCCCUGCUUUUGUGGGGUGCUCGAGUGGCGAACGGGUGAGUAACACGUGAGUAACCUGCCCUUGACUUUGGGAUAACUUCAGGAAACUGGGGCUAAUACCGGAUAGGAGCUCCUGCUGCAUGGUGGGGGUUGGAAAGUUUCGGCGGUUGGGGAUGGACUCGCGGCUUAUCAGCUUGUUGGUGGGGUAGUGGCUUACCAAGGCUUUGACGGGUAGCCGGCCUGAGAGGGUGACCUGCCACAUUGGGACUGAGAUACGGCCCAGACUCCUACGGGAGGCAGCAGUGGGGAAUAUUGCACAAUGGGCGGAAGCCUGAUGCAGCAACGCCGCGUGCGGGAUGACGGCCUUCGGGUUGUAAACCGCUUUCGCCUGUGACGAAGCGUGAGUGACGGUAAUGGGUAAAGAAGCACCGGCUAACUACGUG
rnacentral:rRNA from 1 species